rnacentral:rRNA from 1 species
UAACUUAAAGCUUAUUAUAUUUAUUAAUUUAUUUAAUUGAAAUAACUUAUUCUUUCUAGUAUAUUUUAUAGAAAUUGUCAUGUUUAAUUAUAGUUUAUUUUACUGUGAAGGGUUAAUUAUUAUUAAUUUUAAGAAUAGAUUUUUCUAGUACCUUUUGUAUCAGGGUUUAUUAAAAUUCUUCAUUUAUUAUGAUUUUCUCGAAAUUGUAAGAGUUAAUUUUAUAUGGGUUUUUAUGUUAUAUAAUGAUUUUAAAUAUAAAAUUUGUAGUUAUAUGCUAUUCAUUUAUAUAUAUCUAGUUUCUUGAUAAAUAAAUUCAAUUUUUAAUUAUUAUAGUCAUUAUUAAUUUUUAUUAUUUAUGAUUUAUUAAUUGGAAAUAUAGAGGGAUUAGCUUUUAUAUUUUUAUAUAAUAUUAUUUUUCAUAUAAUUAUUGUAGGUUUAGUAACGUCCAUCUUUAAUUUCGUUAUAGUUUAUUUUAUUUUAUUUUUUAUUUAUUUAUUUAUUUAUAAUUUUAUUAAGAUUAAUUUUUUAAUUUUUUAUGUUUUGUAAUAAUGAUAGAAUUAGUAGUUUUUUAAAAUAUAAUUAUAGUAAUUCGGCAAUUCUUAUCCUCGCCUGUUUAACAAAAACAUGUCCUAUAGAUUUAAUUAUAGGUCUAUCCUGCUCAAUGAUUGAUAUUAAAUAGCCGCAGUAAUUUGACUGUGCGAAGGUAGCAUAAUCAUUUGCUUUUUUAUUGGGAGCUUGAAUGAAUGGUUGGACGAGGGAUAAACUUUCUUUUUUAUAUUAUUUGAAUUUUAUUUUUUAGUUAAAAUGCUGAGAUGCUUUUGUUAGACGAGAAGACCCUAUAGAAUUUUAUUAAAUGGUUAUUUAUUUUUAUUUAUUAAUUUUAUUUAUUUAUUAUCUAUUUAAUUUGAUUGGGGUGAUUAAGAAAUUUUAAUAACUUUCUUUUUAAAACCUUUCAUGAAUUAAUGUAUUAUUGAUCUUUUAUUAUGGAUUACAAGAUUAAAUUACCUUAGGGAUAACAGCGUAAUUUCUUUGGAGAGUUCAUAUUGAUGAAGAAGAUUGCGACCUCGAUGUUGGAUUAAAAUAAUAAUUUGGUGUAGGAGCUAUAUUUAUAAGUCUGUUCGACUUUUUAAUUUUUACAUGAUCUGAGUUCAGACCGGCGUGAGCCAGGUUGGUUUCUAUCUACAAUUAAAUAAGUGAUUUUAGUACGAAAGGACCAUAUUACUAUAAUAUUUAUUAAGUUUUGAUUAUUAUU